AUUGAAAUAGUUUAUACAAAAUAUUAAAUUGUGAAUUUAAAGAAAUUUUUCAAUA
rnacentral:tRNA from 1 species